rnacentral:rRNA from 1 species
AUUGAACGCUGGCGGCAUGCCUUACACAUGCGAGUCGAACGGCAGCGCGGACUUCGGUCUGGCGGCGAGUGGCGAACGGGUGAGUAAUGUAUCGGAACGUACCAUUGAGUGGGGGAUAACGUAGCGAAAGUUACGCUAAUACCGCAUAUUCUCUCCGGAGGAAAGCAGGGGACCGCAAGGCCUUGCGCUCUUUGAGCGGCCGAUAUCAGAUUAGCUAGUUGGUGGGGUAAAAGCUCACCAAGGCGACGAUCUGUAGCGGGUCUGAGAGGAUGAUCCGCCACACUGGAACUGAGACACGGUCCAGACUCCUACGGGAGGCAGCAGUGGGGAAUUUUGGACAAUGGGGGCAACCCUGAUCCAGCCAUGCCGCGUGAGUGAAGAAGGCCUUCGGGUUGUAAAGCUCUUUCGGCCGGGAAAAAAUCGUAUGGAUUAAUACUCUGUGUGGAUGAUGGUACCGGAAUAAGAAGCACCGGCUAACUACGUGCCAGCCGCCGCAGUAACAC